UACGGCGUCGCUCCCUCCGUCAAAAUCAUCAGCGAAGAACGGCGACGAAGAUGGCGGCGGCCUCGACGCCGCUUGGCGUCGCUGCUCUCGUACUGGGCUUCGGACUCAGGGCCUCCGCGCUGGCCAUUGGGCGUGGCGGCCCUCGAUCUCGGCCGCCACCUCGCUAGGGGCGGCGGGGCAGCGACCUGGUCCGGACUCCGGAGCUGACGAGUGAGACGUGCAGGAGGUAGUACAACUACAAGGCUUAGCCGCCGAGCCAGAGCCAGAGCCAGAGUCUCCCGAUCUGGCCGCUGUGAGUAAAUGGUCUCUUUUUAAUAACUGAUGAAAUCACUGCAUGUAAGGAUCUCUGUCCUAAGCUGAAUUCUGUAGGCUUGAUAGAUUCACCGAGCCGAACUGAUCUCAGCGACUGCCUGAGUUAUUUUACAGAUAUUAUUAUUAUUAUUACUCCAUCUGAUCCAUGUUAAGUAUCCCUGAUUUAGUACAACUUUAUGAAUCAGAGGGAGUAUUAUGUUUCAUUCCAAGUAUUUUCUUCUGUGACCCUGGCCCCUGGGUGUGGCACAAUAAACCUGUUGGCUUCGGCCUUUAUGUUCUUAUAUUUACUGGGUGCAUGAUUCAGUACUGCUGGACGAUGAAGCCGUGCGAGUCUUUUUGCACAACUGUUGAUCCGCUCUCAUGGCUAGCUAUCUAAAAAUACUCAUUGAUCGUUCAGAUGCACUUACAGAAUAAGUUCACAAAUGAGUACAGAUAAACUCGUUCAUAAGAAAUAAUAUUGCCUGCAUAUUAGUACAGUAGGCAUUACAAAAUAGGUUCAAUUCAACGAUAAAUGCAAUAAAUUUGAUGACAAGCUGAGUAUUAUAUAAAAAUAUUUAAAUGGGAAAUACUAAUCCUGGUCACCCUUGAAUUGUUGCAAGACAUUUUCUAUCAAAUCUGCCUUGAGUUGUCGAUGCAUUGGUCGCUCAUGAAUAGCUGCGUUACGUCAGUGGCAAGUUUAUGAAUUGGGCCUUGGGGUGUGGGAGUACCUUUGACAAUAGGUUUGGGGAUAUUGAGAUUGUAGUGGUAUGCUUGCAUGGUCUGGAUGUGGAUUUGAGGAGUUUGGCCUCAUGUAAUUUGAGAGAUUUCUGUCUCGUGGAUCCAUGAACUGCUAUUCCAAAUGUUCAAAACUUAUGGUUUUUUAGUUGUGUUCAAACUCUCUUUUGUAGGCAGCUGAAUGGAGAGGAGCCUGAAGGAGGCAACGGUAUUUUGCUACAGAGGAAGCAAGCUGCGAUGGCAACCGUUAUUUUCAGCCAACAGACACGGGUGAACAGUGUAAAGUGAUUCCGUGAUUUAUUAUUUUCUUAUAUUUAGUUUGCUGUGGACCAUUUGUGUAUUUGUCAAAUUGCUCUGCUUCCAUUUGAAGAAAAAGUAAAUUCCAUUUUCGAUGAUGUAUUUGAAAUUUUGAUAGUUUGAGCAAUAUUUUGAACUGAAUAUUGUGUAUUGAACUACACUUGAGAAGUUGAGAGCCAAACUGACCAGAUGGGUCAAUUUUUAGACCUGUCAAAAUGUGGUUCAAUUUGGGAUAUCCAGAUUAAAAUGGCAUUGUACUUCUCAUAAUGUAGCUGUUCUUCGAGAUUUGGCUAAUCUUAUGAGCGAUCACAGCUGCUUGCUAACGGCUUGUAAGUGUCUAUUUCUGUGAUUUGAAUUCUUGUACAUUUUAUCAUCGUUUCAGGUUAUGCAGAGGAUCAUUUUUGUUCCAAUCCAGGGAUACAUCAGGAAGCUCGAAGGAAAUCACUAGAAGUACCAGUGAAGAUUGGAUGUUUAAAGCACAGCUACAAACUUGAUCGAGAAUCUAUAAGCCAGCUGGCCUCAGUGUCUCCUGUCUCCUGGGAAGUCAAGCUCAGAUUAGAUUGUCUAGUAGUUUUUUUUGUUGAUAUGGUUACCUAUAGAGCAUGAUAGGUAAUGAGCACAUAAUCUCUUAGGACACCGAAGCCUACACCCACUAAUCUUUGGGGUCGAAGAGGGUGCUUAUGCCAAUAAUCUGGCAGGAGCAUUUUUAUAUCUGAAGAAAAGGCACGAACCAUUGUCCUUUUUUUCGUUUUGAAAGCUUACCUUAUCAGAAGGGCCCAGUGGCUGGAUGAUCGGUACAAGCUUUAUACUGAACUUGGUAAUUAAGCAAGAUGAUACAGAAUUCUGUCCUUGCAGCUUUGGACUUUAUUUUAGUUUUCUAGCUGCAAAUCCAAAGAAACUAUUCUUAGCUCCUCCCUUCUGGAACACUCAUUGCAGAUGAUGCAGAAUUCUGUCCUUCGGCUUUGGACUUUAUUCUAUUUUUUUAUCAAAAGAAACCACUCUUAGUUCCUCUCCUUUGGAACUCCCAUUGCAGAUGAUGCAGAAUUCUGUCCUUUCAGCUUUGGUCUUUAUUUUAUUUAUUUUUGCUGCAAAUCAAAAGAAACUAUUCUUAACUCCUCUCUUUUGAAACUCUCAUCGCAGAUGAUGCAGAAUUCUGCCCUUUCGGCUUUGGACUUUUCUUUUUGCUGCAAAUCGAAAGAAACUAUUCUUAGUUCCUCUCCUUUGGAACUCUCAUUGCAGAUGAUGCAGAAUUCUGUCCUCUCAGCUUUGUCCUUUAUUUUAUUUUUUUGCUGCAAAUCAAAAGAAAUCCUCUCUUUUAAAACUCUCAUCGCAGAUGAUGCAGAAUUCUGCCCUUUCGGCUUUGGACUUUUUUUUUUUGCUGCAAAUCGAAAGAAACUGUUCUUAGUUCCUCUCCUUUGGAACUCUCAUUGCAGAUGAUGCAGAAUUCUGUCCAUUCAGCUUUGUCCUUUAUUUUAUAUUUUUGCUGCAAAUCAAAAGAAAUCCUCUCUUUUGGAACUCUCAUUGCAGAUGAUGCAGAAUUCUGCCCUUUCGGCUUUGGACUUUAUUUUAUAUUUUUGCUGCAAAUUGAAAGAAACUAUUCUUAGUUCCUCUCCUUUGGAACUCUCAUUGCAGAUGAUGCAGAAUUCUGUCCUUUCAGCUUUGGCCUUUAUUUUUUAUUUUUUUUGCUGCAAAUCAAAAGAAAUCCUCUCUUUUGGAACUCCCAUUGUAAAUGAUGCAGAAUUCUGCCCUUUUGGCUUUGGACUUCUUUUUUCUGCAAAUCGAAAGAAACUAUUCUUUGUUCUUUUACUCUUAUUAUUUGGUAAAGGAAAAGGAAAAAGAGAAAGACCAAAGACUGGGCGAUGCCAAUAUUCUAGUCCGAUCGCUUGUACACACCAUAUGAUUAAUGAGCCCCACUUAAAUUUCAGUCUUUUGCAUGUGAAGUAUUGCUCGGAAUCCUAUAAUUGACAUGUUCCCCUUUCUAAUUUCCAGGCCUAUAUCUUGCACAGUCCCAUGCAUCCAGCAAAUAAGGGUUGUGUGGGCUGUCAACCAAGCAUUUUCUUUAUUACCUUGUAUUACUUGCUUUUCAACUCAUUCACUGGAAAAAUAGAAAGAGCACUGCUUGGCAGACGACACUGUGCAGACGAAUUUUGGACGACAAAGGAAUCAAGCCGUCCAUGCAUUGGCAACAGACAGCCACUCACCGCUAGAUAAGGCCAUCGUGCAAUGGUUGUCUACACUAUUUCGUGUGCAGAGCAGUUUUGAAAUAGAAAACUGGUUGUUGCGUUGUGUCUUUUCAAAAUGGCUUGACUAGGCUGCCUAGUUAGUUCAUAAUGCCUGCCUUACAUUUUACCUUGUUUAUAUAGAUAAUAGUUUAUUGCAAAGUGAAGCACACUAUGGUAAGCAAUAAAACAUCAAAUUAUCAAAAUAGAUGUCAAAAUAGAAACAUCCAAUGGACUCCUAAGUUGAUUUUCGUUUUCUAGCGCAACCACUCAAUGGUAUGGUAUACCCGCCAUGACAUGGCGUCAACCUUAUGUUUUUUGCUCCCUAAAGCGGCCAGUCCAUGUGAACUCCAAAAUAAUGUUCCUAAUGAUUACAUCUGGGGAGUAUAGCUGGCUCCUAAAGACGCAAGCAUUUCGGGCAUCCCUGAUUUAUGUGCCACAUCUUUGUGAAUGAAAGAAUUGUUCAAGUUGCAGAUCCAUCCCGACAAGUCACAUAAUUGAAAA